CGGAAAACAGCUGGGCAAGCUCCCCUCGGCUGCCAGGCGGAAGCGCCGCGGCUAACGGAGCCGGCCGAGCGGUGACGGAGAUAGCCGAGCGGGGCCAGGGCGGUACUCGGCGUCACCGUUCGGUCCGUCACGGCGGGGGGGGCGGUGGCGGCCUCGGGCCCUCAGCGCUGGUAGCUGGCGGGGGGCGGUGAGACUCCCGCAGGGCCUGGGGCUCGGUCCUCACAGCGGCUGUGCACCCAUGCAAGGUAAGAAUAGGGGGAGAACCACCAGCUUGCAUUGCACAGCCUCCAGACACCUUCUGGCUGCGGACACGCUGUCUGCCUGGAGAGGAACCAUCCAGGGAGCCCUGUCCUGACUGGGCUCCAUCCCAGGCGGGACACUACCCACACUCCAGGGACCUGCCAUCCCAUGCCACGAGGGUGGAGGUGGGACCUGGCCCAGAAAUACCCAUCACUUCCCUGUUUUUCUUCCCCCUUGCUGAUUCUUCAGGAUUCAACUUCUUGGAAACCAACCUUCAAAACUAGACCUUUGAACCUAUCAAUGAUAUAGAAAAAAGAAUGGUUUUAAUGUUU